UAAUAGAUCUAAGGCCUCUUCUGGGGUUACGAAGAGGGAAAUGUAAAUGCAAAGAGAGGGGCAAUACGGAUUAGUAUCCAUGCCCCAUUGCUGUUUCUGCCUCCUAACUCUUUGAAGGCGACUGACUGAAAGGAGGAGACACCUGUAUCUGUGGAGGCCUCUUGACACGUUUUUAAGAACUUCCUGUUAUGCCAGAUUUGAAAAUGCAUGGGGAAUCUCUGUGGAUACGAAAGGAUCUGUGCUUCAGAGCAUUGCUUUGUAAAGUAGGAAGGCAGGCAGGGAGUGGGAAUGAUGGCGGAGAGGCUUGCAUGUUCACAACACCCCUCUCUCAGCAACCAUAGAAGCGUAGAAUUGUAGAAUUAGAAGGGAUCUUACGGGUCAUCUAGUCCAACCCCCUGCAACACAGAAAUCAAUGCAGGAGUUCACUUUAACACUGAAAAAAUAUACUAGUCAGUUACCUUUUCUUCCCUAUUUACAGGACUCCGGCAAAGACUCAGAGACGUGGAUAGAGGUUACUACAGGUUAAUGACAUGUGACUUUAUGCCACCUCAGAUCAGCUUCAGAAAACAGGCAACCACAUCACGCCACCUCCCUGAAUCUAAUGAAGGUACAGAAAUGGUUAUGGACAGCUCUACAAAUACGUAGCCUUCUCUCUCUCUUGGGAGCAGGAUGGACUAGAAUUCUGAGCUUCUUCUGGUGGUUGAGCAGAUUGGCAAGCAGACAGCAGACAAGAGAGACGCUUGUUAUUCAGCAGAUGAACUUAAUGUCUCUUGCUUAUAAAUAAGAGAUUCCCCUGUACUUGUAAAUUUGGAAACAUCCCUAUGCAUGUUUACUCAGAAGAAAAUCCCACUUUAAUUUUAAAAUCUCAUUUUGAUGCAAUAUACUCCCAAGUAAUUCUGCAAAGUGUUGCCAGCUCAGCAAUCCUCUAAAGAUAGGAAGCCGCCUUAUAUAUAGACCAUUGGCCUAUACAGUCCAAAAGUGAGAGACAGCAAGUCUCUAGAGUUUAAGGCAGAGUCUUUCCCUUCACCUGGAUUCCUUUCAGCCAGAUAACGACUUUCUGCCCGCAAAGCAGAAAAGCUCUCCUGCCUGCCUCGUUUUUUUCUGCAAAACACUGGCAGUCUGCUUAGAAUUUAAAUAUCUGAUUGACCCAAAAUUUGAAAGAGCCUAUCAGAAAAAUAAUCCAGACAAGAUGGUUUGCUAGCAGAGAGGCAGAAAAGGGUGAUUGUAGCCUGCUCACCCUGAUAAUGGAGUUUCGCCUUUAGGUGUCAUAACCAAAAAGCUGCUGAUAGGCCUCUACACCUCGUUCAAUUUGUCUAACCUCCCUUUAAAUCUGCCUUAGUCAAGUGCCACCCCAACAUCUUGUGACAUCAAACGGCAAAUAUAAAGAUCUGAAAAUGCUUACAGCAUUAAGAUAAAUUCAACAGUGUAAAUAAGUUUUGACAGAUUCAAUAAUGAAAUACUGAAUGGUAUAGUUUUUGUAAAAUACGCAAGGAUUUAUGAUAUGUAAAAUGAACCAUGGAAAGAGAAGAAUGGAAGUCAUUUAAGGAUGUAAAAUGGGUAUUUUGAAGGAAAUAACAGUCCGACUGCAGCAGCCUUGGGAAACAGGGCCUUUUCAGUGGUGGCUCCAGUCUCCUGCAAUUCCUUUCUGAGAGAAAUACAACAGGCUUCAUUAGUCCCAAGUUUUGAAGAAAGUUUUCCCUGGCUUUUAAUUUAAAGGUUUUAUUGUAUAUUCUACUUGUGGAGUUUUCGAUAGUGAAAUGAUUUUUUAUUUAUUUAAAACUGUUUUAUCCUA